GGGUGCGAUCAUACCAGCGUUAAUGCACCGAAUCCCAUCAGAACUCCGCAGUUAAGCGCGCUUGGGCUAGAGUAGUGCUGGGAUGGGUGACCU
rfam:Picea glauca, whole genome shotgun sequence.